rnacentral:rRNA from 1 species
UGCCACAGUCAUAUCACCCUGCAGCCCAAGACUGGCUGUCCACUGAAGCUAAGCAGGGCUGAGCUGGUCAGUACUCGGAUGGGAGACCUCCUGGGAAAACUAGGUUGUUGCUGGAA